GUACUUUCUUCCAUAGUGCAUAUCCUACCGUUGGAACAAUUCAGAGAUUAGCAUGGUCCCUGCGCAAGGAUGGCACGUAAAUGCAAAAGUGCUCUGUAUUUAA
ensembl:snRNA U6 U6 spliceosomal RNA